rnacentral:rRNA from 1 species
CCUACGGGAGGCAGCAGUGAGGAAUAUUGGUCAAUGGGCGGGAGCCUGAACCAGCCAAGUCGCGUGAGGGAAGACGGUCCUACGGAUUGUAAACCUCUUUUGCCGGGGAGCAACGGGGUCCUUGCGAGGGCCCAAUGAGAGUACCCGGAGAAAAAGCAUCGGCUAACUCCGUGCCAGCAGCCGCGGUAAUACGGAGGAUGCGAGCGUUAUCCGGAUUUAUUGGGUUUAAAGGGUGCGUAGGCGGGCUGUUAAGUCAGCGGUAAAAGCCCGGGGCUCAACCCCGGCGAGCCGUUGAAACUGGCUGUCUUGAGAUGUCGAGAGGUAUGCGGAAUGCGCAGUGUAGCGGUGAAAUGCUUAGAUAUUGCGCAGAACUCCGAUUGCGAAGGCAGCAUACCGGCGGCGAUCUGACGCUGAGGCACGAAAGCGUGGGUAUCGAACAGGAUUAGAUACCCGAGUAGUC